rnacentral:misc_RNA from 1 species
ACUCCCUGGUUGAGCAUCAGCUGUGGCUCAACCGACCCACGCUUCUGAAUAAAGUGUAUAGAGCAAUCUUCCUUCGGGUGACUUUCGAUCCCAGCAUUUGCCACCACAUUGAACAUCUCACCAUCUGCCAGCUUCUGGUCAAUCAAGUCAGUGUUAGGCUCAUCAUCAAGACCUUCCACGUCGUACUCGCUCAUGCUGUUGCUGAAGGAGACUCCGUCGCAUCCUGACGGCUGGGGGCACGGGGCGUCCGGGUGGAGCUGCUUGUACAAUUUGUCCUCCUGGCCGAGCACUGACGACCAGAGAGCAUUCUCCUUAGCGGUCAUCUUGUCCUGGAGGCACUUCGACUGUCUGACGAGGCGGCGGA